rnacentral:rRNA from 1 species
UACGGUAGGCAGCAAGCGUUGUUUCGGAGUUACUGGGCGUAAAGGGUGCGUAGGCGGCUUCUUAAGUCUGGUGUGAAAUCUCCCGCUCGAACUGGGAGGGUGGCGCCGGAUACUGAGGGGCUAGAGUGUGGGAGAGGAAGUGGAAUUCCUGGUGUAGCGGUGGAAUGCGCAGAUAUCAGGAGGAACACCGGUGGCGAAGGCGGGUCUCUGGGCCGAUACUGACGCUGAGGAGCGAAAGCGUGGGGAGCGAACAGG